CUGAGUUCUCUAUAUAUUUUGUUAAGUCUCGUGUGUUGGCAAGUUUCGUGAAUUGAGUUGAAGUCUUGAAGGGUUCGGAGCGUAUCGUCGAAGAUUGAAGAAUUCAAGACUUCGAAGAAAGCUGAAAUAUCUCACGACGUGAAUCACGAUACUCGGGUAAAGUUUUAAUUCAUGUUAUGAUGAUUCAUGCUUAGUUAUAGGUAUUAGAAUUAGAAAAUUAAAGUUUAGUGGAUUAGAAAGUGCGUCGGAACUUUGCGAAACCCGAAACUGU
rnacentral:lncRNA from 1 species